UACGUAGGGUGCGAGCGUUGUUCGGAAUUAUUGGGCGUAAAGAGCUCGUAGGCGGUUCCGUAAGUCAGAUGUGAAAACUCAGGGCUCAACCCGGAGACGCCAUCUGAUACUGCGGUGACUGGAGUCUGGUAGGGGAACACGGAAUUCCUGGUGUAGCGGUGAAAUGACGCAGAUAUCAGGAGGAACACCUGUGGCGAAGGCGUCCAUCCUGGCCCGUUACUGACGCUG
rnacentral:rRNA from 1 species